UAUUGCUCGAUUCCGUCAUCACGCAUCCUUACCCUAGUAUAUCUAUAAGGGUGUCGGGUCAACUUGGACGUAAAGUAUCGACCCAUGUGGUUUAUGAUUAAGUAUUAACCCAACGUGUCCCUUACUAGUACGAGGAACUAACACACGUCAGCACUAGUUCAAGAACCUAAGAAGUCAUACAACGAUCGAUGCUUAGGGGGUGUUUGUUUUUUUAGAAAAGUACUUCAGAACCUCUUUUCUCUUCCCCACGCAGACCACGCGCAAACAUAGGGGUCUGCAGCUUGUUUGUUUUUUAGAAGGGUUUUCAUUAAAAAACCUCUUCCUCACCUCUGUUUCACACAGAUGUGGUCAAAAGACUUCUUGCCUCUUCUCAAAUCUUCUCCUUCAAAAAAAUUAAACCCUAAUCUUUCACAGCCGCACCCACAGCUCCUCCCCAACCCUCUCCACGUCUGCCAUCGCUGCUCCUCCUCUGGCGCCGCCCCCACCUCUCGACGACCGCCACCUCUCGGCGACCUCCGCCUCUCGACGACCUCUAUCAGCCUGCUCCACCUCUCGAGACAUAGAAUACGAUCAACCCAAUGUUUCGGUUCAAAAUAGGCUAGUGCACGUUGAUGCUGAUGAAGACGAGGUUGAGGCACAUGGUACUGCAUCGGAUCGGGAAUAUAUGACUCGGUUACGAGAUGAGAUUCCUGAGCAGUUAAUGCAAAGCAUGAAUACAAUGAUUUAAAAAAAAAUGUUAUUGUCUUUUUUAUGAAUAUUAUUUCAGUAUUGUAUAACUAUUAUUUAAGUUUGAAUGUUGAAAAACUCUUAUAACUUUAAUAAAUCAGUUUAUUUAUAUUUCA